rnacentral:rRNA from 1 species
UAGGGAAUCUUCCGCAAUGGGCGAAAGCCUGACGGAGCAACGCCGCGUGAGUGAUGAAGGUCUUCGGAUCGUAAAACUCUGUUAUUAGGGAAGAACAAAUGUGUAAGUAACUAUGCACGUCUUGACGGUACCUAAUCAGAAAGCCACGACUAACUACGUGCCAGCAGCCGCGGUAAUACGUAGGUGGCAAGCGUUAUCCGGAAUUAUUGGGCGUAAAGCGCGCGUAGGCGGUUUUUUAAGUCUGAUGUGAAAGCCCACGGCUCAACCGUGGAGGGGCAUUGGAAACUGGAAAACUUGAGUGCAGAAGAGGAAAGUGGAAUUCCAUGUGUAGCGGUGAAAUGCGCAGAGAUAUGGAGGAACACCAGUGGCGAAGGCGACUUUCUGGUCUGUAACUGACGCUGAUGUGCGAAAGCGUGGGGAUCAAACAGG